rfam:Solanum lycopersicum cultivar Heinz 1706 chromosome 7, whole genome shotgun sequence.
AGCCACGCAAUGGACACAUAGCGAACUAUUCUUUCGCCUUUUACUAAAGAAUACCGUGUGUUCGUUGAAAAUAGUGGCAUACGCUAAUUUUUGGAGGGAUUCCAUCAAUGGAAGCCC